GCGGCAUGCCGCGCUGCUGGACAUCGUCUGGAAGGGGGUGAUGCACGCGGUGACGGAGGUGCGUGAGACAACGGGCCACCUGGCGGCGCUGCUGGUGCCGGAGGUGUCGGAGAGUGUGCUGACGGGCCGCGUCCUGCCCGCGCUCGUGACGCUCGCCUCCGACGCGCAGCCGCUGGUGCGGCGCGCCGCUGUGCCGGCGCU